UGCUUCAUUGUUGAGGAUCGUGACUCC
rnacentral:sRNA from 1 species